UACGUAGGGCGCAAGCGUUGUCCGGAAUUAUUGGGCGUAAAGAGCUCGUAGGCGGCUUGUCACGUCGGGUGUGAAAGCCCGGGGCUUAACCCCGGGAGGCGGGUGGAUACUGCUGAGCUCGAGUCCGGAAGAGGAGUGUGGAAUUCCUGGUGUAGCGGUGAAAUGCGCAGAUAUCAGGAGGAACACCAAUGGCGAAGGCAGCACUCUGGGACGGUACUGACGCUGAGACGCGAAAGCGUGGGGAGCAAACAGG
rnacentral:rRNA from 1 species